CCACCACAGACACAUCAUUUGUGGCGGCUGUAGUUCAGGAGGAAGCGCAGUCGUCUUUCGACUGGAAGGUAGGCGGAUCGAUUCCUGGCUUCCACUGACUAUAUGCCGAAGUGUCCUUGGGCAAGACACUUAACCCCACG